GGAUCAAUUUAUUGGUCGUGCUAUUGUACGUACUGGCGUCAUUGAUUUCUCCCUUCUGACGAACCAUGAUGUCAUUAAUUUGGUGUUAUGGGAAAUCAGGACUGUUACUUUGAAAAAAUUAGAGUGUUUAAAGCAGGCUCACGCUUGAAUACAUUAGCAUGGAAUAAUGAAAUAGGACGUUCGAUCCUAUUUUGUUGGUUUUAGGAUCAACGUA
rnacentral:rRNA from 1 species